rnacentral:rRNA from 1 species
CGGGUGAGUAACGCGUGGAUAAUCUACCCUUAAGGAUGGGGAUAACGGCUGGAAACGGUCGCUAAUACCGAAUACGCUCCCGAUUUUAUCAUUGGGGGGAAAGAUGGCCUCUGCUUGCAAGCUAUCGCUUAAGGAUGAGUCCGCGUCCCAUUAGCUAGUUGGCGGGGUAACGGCCCACCAAGGCAACGAUGGGUAGCCGGUCUGAGAGGAUGACCGGCCACACUGGAACUGGAACACGGUCCAG